UUAAGCAAAAAAGAGCGCAGGGUGGAUGCCUUGGCACUAAGAGCCGAAGAAAGACGUGAUAAGCUGCGAAAAGCUGCGGGGAGAUGCAAAUAAUCCUUGAUCCGCAGAUGUCUGAAUGGGGAAACCCGGUACGAAGAACUCGUAUCAUCCAUACGCCAAUCCAUAACGUAUGGAGGGGAACCCGGUGAACUGAAACAUCUAAGUAGCCGGAGGAAGAGAAAGAAACAUCGAUUUUGUUAGUAGCGGCGAGCGAAAGCGAAAGAGGCCAAACCGGAGUGCGUGCACUCCGGGGUUCGGACCGCAUUUAAGAUUCAGUGAUUCUAGCAGAAAGGUUUGGGAAAGCCUGCCGGAGAGGGUGAAAGCCCCGUAAGCGAAAGGAGAGCUGACUGAGCGGGAUCCAGAGUACAUCGAGACACGAGAAACCUUGAUGGAAUGAGCGGGGACCACCCCGUAAGCCUAAAUACUACUUAGUGACCGAUAGCGCAUAGUACUGUGAAGGAAAGGUGAAAAGGACCCCGGGAGGGGAGUGAAAGAGAACCUGAAACCCUGUGUUUACAAGCUGUGGAAGUUCUUUAAAUGAACAACCGCGUACUUUUUGUAGAACGGUCCGGCGAGUUGCGGAUACUGGCAAGGUUAAGCACUUAAGGUGCGGAGCCGAAGGGAUACCAAGUCUUAACAGGGCGUUAAGUCAGUAUACGCAGACCCGAAACCGGGUGAUCUAUCCAUGUCCAGGUUGAAGUUGUCGUAAAAGACAAUGGAGGACCGAAGCCACAUCCGUUGAAAAGGGUGGGCAUGAGGUGUGGAUAGGGGAGAAAUUCCAAUCGAACCCGGAGAUAGCUGGUUCUCCUCGAAAUAGCUUUAGGGCUAGCCUCGAUUUAGUCUUAUGGAGGUAGAGCACUGAAUUUCCGCGGGGGCGUCAAAGCUUACCAAAGAAUAUCAAACUCCGAAUGCCAUGUAGAUGAUGAUCGGGAGUCAGACUGCACGAGAUAAGUUGGGCAGUCAAAAGGGAAAGAGCCCAGACCACCGGCUAAGGUCCCAAAGUGCGUGUUAAGUGGAAAAGGAUGUGGGAAUUCGAAGACAACUAGGAUGUUGGCUCAGAAGCAGCCAUACAUUCAAAGAGUGCGUAACAGCUCACUAGUCGAGAGUUCCUGCGCCGAAAAUGUCCGGGGCUGAAACACGACACCGAAGCCGUGGACUCGCAAUGCGAGUGGUAGAGGAGCAUUCUUAAAACCGACGAAGCUGUACCGAAAGGAGCAGUGGAGGGAUAAGAAGAGAGAAUGCCGGAAUGAGUAGCGAGAGAAAGGUGGGAAUCCUUUCGGCCGAAUAUCUAAGGUUUCCAGAGUAAAGCUGAUCUGCUCUGGGUAAGUCGGGGCCUAAGCACAGGUCGCAAGACGUAAGCGAUGGAUAACAGGUUUAGAUUCCUGUACCACGCAUUAUCAGAACUGUAGGGACGCAUGUGGAAAGCACGGGCCGGGAAUGGAAAGACCGGUACAAGCGAGGUAGGUGUACAAUAGGCAAAUCCGUUGUAUAAUCCGAAGACGUGAUGUGGAGCGAAAUAAAGUAGUGAAGCGUGUGAGCCAUGUGCCGAGAAAAGCUGCUAUUGUGUAAUGCGUGCCCGUACCGUAAACCGACACAGGUGGAUGAGGAGAGAAUCCUAAGGCCGGCGGAAGAAGCAUUGUUAAGGAAUUCGGCAAAAUGACCCCGUAACUUCGGGAGAAGGGGUGCCUGCGAGAGCAGGCCGCAGAGAAUAGGCUCAAGCAACUGUUUAGCAAAAACACAGGUCUAUGCGAAACCGAAAGGUGAAGUAUAUGGGCUGACGCCUGCCCGGUGCUGGAAGGUUAAGAGGAGAGGUUAGCUUCGGCGAAGCUUUGAAUUUAAGCCCCAGUAAACGGCGGCCGUAACUAUAACGGUCCUAAGGUAGCGAAAUUCCUUGUCGGGUAAGUUCCGACCC
rnacentral:rRNA from 1 species